rnacentral:rRNA from 1 species
GGUUGAUCCUGCCAGUAGUCAUAUGCUUGUCUCAAAGAUUAAGCCAUGCAUGUCUAAGUAUAAACAAAUUCAUACUGUGAAACUGCGAAUGGCUCAUUAAAUCAGUUAUAGUUUAUUUGAUGGUAUCUUGCUACAUGGAUAACUGUGGUAAUUCUAGAGCUAAUACAUGCUGAAAAGCCCCGACUUCUGGAAGGGGUGUAUUUAUUAGAUAAAAAACCUUCGCCUUCGGGCUCUUGGUGAUUCAUAAUAACUUCUCGAAUCGCAUGGCCUUGUGCCGGCGAUGCUUCAUUCAA